GACGAACGCUGGCGGCGCGCCUAACACAUGCAAGUCGAACGAGCGAGAGGAGGUUUACUUUCUCAAGCGAGUGGCGAACGGGUGAGUAACGCGUGAGGAACCUGCCUCAAAGAGGGGGACAACAGUUGGAAACGACUGCUAAUACCGCAUAAGCCCACGACCCGGCAUCGGGUAGAGGGAAAAGGAGCAAUCCGCUUUGAGAUGGCCUCGCGUCCGAUUAGCUAGUUGGUGAGGUAAUGGCCCACCAAGGCGACGAUCGGUAGCCGGACUGAGAGGUUGAACGGCCACAUUGGGACUGAGACACGGCCCAGACUCCUACGGGAGGCAGCAGUGGGGAAUAUUGCACAAUGGGGGAAACCCUGAUGCAGCGACGCCGCGUGGAGGAAGAAGGUCUUCGGAUUGUAAACUCCUGUUGUUGAGGAAGAUAAUGACGGUACUCAACAAGGAAGUGACGGCUAACUACGUGCCAGCAGCCGCGGUAAAACGUAGGUCACAAGCGUUGUCCGGAAUUACUGGGUGUAAAGGGAGCGCAGGCGGGAAGACAAGUUGGAAGUGAAAUCCAUGGGCUCAACCCAUGAACUGCUUUCAAAACUGUUUUUCUUGAGUAGUGCAGAGGUAGGCGGAAUUCCCGGUGUAGCAGUGGAAUGCGUAGAUAUCGGGAGGAACACCAGUGGCGAAGGCGGCCUACUGGGCACCAACUGACGCUGAGGCUCGAAAGUGUGGGUAGCAAACAGGAUUAGAUACCCUGGUAGUCCACACUGUAAACGAUGAUUACUAGGUGUGGGAGGAUUGACCCCUUCAGUGCCGCAGUUAACACAAUAAGUAAUCCACCUGGGGAGUACGACCGCAAGGUUGAAACUCAAAGGAAUUGACGGGGGCCCGCACAAGCAGUGGAGUAUGUGGUUUAUUUGACGCAACGCGAAGAACCUUACCAAGUCUUGACAUCCUGCGACGGACAUAGAAAUAUGUUUUUCCUUCGGGACGCAGAGACAGGUGGUGCAUGGUUGUCGUCAGCUCGUGUCGUGAGAUGUUGGGUUAAGUCCCGCAACGAGCGCAACCCUUAUGGUCAGUUACUACGCAAGAGGACUCUGGCCAGACUGCCGUUGACAAAACGGAGGAAGGUGGGGAGGACGUCAAAUCAUCAUGCCCCUUAUGACUUGGGCUACACACGUACUACAAUGGCGUUAAACAAAGAGAAGCAAGACCGCGAGGUGGAGCAAAACUCAGAAACAACGUCCCAGUUCGGACUGCAGGCUGCAACUCGCCUGCACGAAGUCGGAAUUGCUAGUAAUCGCAGAUCAGCAUGCUGCGGUGAAUACGUUCCCGGGCCUUGCACA
rnacentral:rRNA from 1 species